GAUGAACGCUGGCGGCGUGCCUAAUACAUGCAAGUCGAGCGAAUGGAUUGAGAGCUUGCUCUUAUGAAGUUAGCGGCGGACGGGUGAGUAACACGUGGGUAACCUGCCCAUAAGACUGGGAUAACUCCGGGAAACCGGGGCUAAUACCGGAUAACAUUUUGAACCGCAUGGGUCGAAAUUGAAAGGCGGCUUCGGCUGCCAAUUCGGGAUGGACCCGCGUCGCAUUAGCUGGUUGGUGCGGUAACGGCUCACCAAGGCAACGAUGCGUAGCCCACCUGAGAGGGUGAUCGGCCACACUGGGACUGAGACACGGCCCAGACUCCUACGGGAGGCAGCAGUAGGGAAUCUUCCGCAAUGGACGAAAGUCUGACGGAGCAACGCCGCGUGAGUGAUGAAGGCUUUCGGGUCGUAAAACUCUGUUGUUAGGGAAGAACAAGUGCUAGUUGAAUAAGCUGGCACCUUGACGGUACCUAACCAGAAAGCCACGGCUAACUACGUGCCAGCCGCCGCCGUAA
rnacentral:rRNA from 1 species